rnacentral:rRNA from 1 species
GCGAACUCGGUGCCAGCGGCCGCGGGAAUACGGAGGGUGCAAGCGUUAAUCGGAAUUACUGGGCGUAAAGGGCACGCAGGCGGUCGGUCAAGUCGGAUGUGAAAUCCCCGGGCUCAACCUGGGAACUGCAUCCGAAACUGGCAGGCUAGAGUCUUGUAGAGGGGGGUAGAAUUCCAGGUGUAGCGGUGAAAUGCGUAGAGAUCUGGAGGAAUACCGGUGGCGAAGGCGGCCCCCUGGACAAAGACUGACGCUCAGGUGCGAAAGCGUGGGGAGCAAACAGGAUUAGAUACCCUGGUAGUC